rfam:Branchiostoma floridae genomic scaffold BRAFLscaffold_145, whole genome shotgun sequence.
GUUUGUUUGUGUGUGGAUGGUGUUCAGCACCAGGAAUAGGUGCUUUUACCUGUGUGUGAAUGGUGUUCAGCACCAAGAACAGGUGUGUUUUUCC